GAUGAACGCUGGCGGCGUGCUUAACACAUGCAAGUCGAACGAUGAAGCCCAGCUUGCUGGGUGGAUUAGUGGCGAACGGGUGAGUAACACGUGAGUAACCUGCCCUUAACUCUGGGAUAAGCCUGGGAAACUGGGUCUAAUACCGGAUAGGAGCGUCCACCGCAUGGUGGGUGUUGGAAAGAUUUAUCGGUUUUGGAUGGACUCGCGGCCUAACAGCUUGUUGGUGAGGUAAUGGCUCACCAAGGCGACGACGGGUAGCCAGCCUGAGAGGGUGACCGGCCACACUGGGACUGAGACACGGCCCAGACUCCUACGGGAGGCAGCAGUGGGGAAUAUUGCACAAUGGGCGCAAGCCUGAUGCAGCGACGCCGCGUGAGGGAUGACGGCCUUCGGGUUGUAAACCUCUUUCAGUAGGGAAGAAGCGAAAGUGACGGUACCUGCAGAAGAAGCACCGGCUAACUACGUG
rnacentral:rRNA from 1 species